CGGCCCAGAGCCGAGCCAGACGCUGCCUGUCCUUCUGGCUGUGCCAAGCCCAGUGCCCGGGCCCUCGCAAACGAUCCCCUCGGAACCAAGCCAGGCGCCUCAGUAAGAGAUGCUCUUUCGUUUUGCUUGUUGCAUCGAAUGCAAGAAUGCUCUGGAUACCCAUUUUGCUUUUUGCCCUCUCCAGACUUCCCGGCCCAGAGCCAAGCCAGACGUUGCCUGUCCUUCUGGCUGUGCCAAGCCCAGUGCCCGGGCCCUCGCAAACGAUCCCCUCGGAACCAAGCCAGGCGCGCCCUCAGCCUCCCUGCGUGGCUGAAGAGCUAAGUCGGUCACCGCCUGUCCUCACACCUGUCCUGAGCCCAGUGCCUAGUCAUGGAUCAGACUCUGCCCUCUUGACAACUCCCGUAGCGAGGUGCCUGAAAAGAAAAGCCCCUGAAGACAGUAGCAGCGGCAAGCGGCGGCUGCUGACCCCAAAGA